rnacentral:rRNA from 1 species
AUGGCAGUCGAAUCACAUCGCGAUCUCACCCCCUCCCCUCCUGAAUUUGAGUGGCGGUGCCAAAGCCGCUUGGGGCGACCAGCAGAUUGCGAGGGUGGACACAGGGCUGUUCACCAUGGUUUUGUUGUCAGUGUCCCUCUUCUUGGCAGGGGAAUGGAAGCCUCCGUCUUCAGAGAUUUCAAGGUUGUCCCAGCUUGCGCCACACAUCAAACCUUGUGUUCUUCGUUUUCAGCCACACAAGAUCAUCAAGGGUCGUUGGAGCAGUUUCGCCAGCGCACUCAAGAACGCCUCCACCUGGGGUUUGCUUGCUUCCGGGGUCAGAAUCACCCAGAAUUUGAGCAUUCUGUGAACCAGUCUCCACACCUGAGUAAUAGAUGUCCAAAUAGUGUUAUUAAAAAUUGUUGA